ensembl:lncRNA PCBP1-AS1 PCBP1 antisense RNA 1
CUUCCGGGGGGGAGGGGCGGCGAGGCGAGGCCUGCGGAGCGGAGGAAGACAAACAUAAAGAUGAAGUGCUUAAUUCAAGGUCACACAAUGUCGGGGAUGGACCUCCAGAUUUCCUUACUGGAAAACAAGCUCAGGGCUCCCACUGAUUGUACAUUAUGGUGAGACGUGGUCUUGUAACACAGUGGUUAAGAAUGUGACUUUGGAGCCAGCCUGCUAGGGGCUGAAUUCUGACUCAGCCAUUUACUAACUGUGUGACCUUAGGUCACAGAAUUUUCCACACUCCUUGACAGAGGUGCUUAACCCUUAUCCAUCAGCAUUCUCAGACAGCACCUCCGGUUAGGGACAGUAUCUGACCGUCCGACAUCCCUGCAGCCCCCAUGUGUCACACAGACUCAGCCUCAGGUAGAUGGUUUCCGUAGAUGGUGGCUUUCUUUGGACCCUUGACAUCAACCAGUUACUAUUUGCAGGGCCACACAUAACAAAUAGAAGCAGAGCAAGCCCUGGAACUCCUGCCUGACAGUGACACGACGACAGAAACAUCUUACCAGUCAGAGGACCAUGAGAAAUAGAUUCAAGGAGCAUUCCACGUGCAAGUGAGUCUUGGCCCCAUCUGCCUUUGGAUUUUAGCCGUGAACUGGAAGGUAUUGGAAAGAAGACCCUCAGAAAUAGCUUAAUCAAAAUCCCUGCGUCUGAACCAAGUGCCUUAUUUCUCUGUGGGCCUCAAGCUUCGCUGACAUCUGUGGAGCACACUGUCCUAACAGGAGUGCUGUCUGAUUUCCCAACGCUCUGCAAAACAAACAGCCUGGAAGGGUGGCUGGUGGAAGGUGGUUUUUAGAGAGAGACUUGUAGAUAACAGGAAAGUGAAGGCUGUAAGGAAGGUUGUAAUUAAACAGCACAUGGAAACACAAUCACAUUAUUGUCCCAUUCCAUAGGGAUAAUGAUGACCACUUCAGUGGGAAAAGGAGAGGUUUUAAGUCAUUAGGGACUAUGGGCCACCUUUUAGGAAGAUUUAUUUUCAAAGGUUAAAAUAGUGUUUUGGCAAUUCAAGUUUCAUUUUCAGAAAAUGUAAUUGAUGGGAACCUCAGUGACUCUGGAUGAAUAAGAUGCUGUUGAGUGGCUCUGACUUGGGCCAGCCGUGCUUCUCACAGGACCUUGGAGACCAAGGUCACUGUGAUCUCAGGUUCAGGGGGCAAGUCCUCUCCACACAGCCCUAGUUGGCCUCACAGCUGAAAAUGUCUCCCUUACUGUUGGACUCCUUUGUUCACCCACAUGAGUUUGUGAAUAAAUCCUUUCCAGUCU